AGUAUGAUAACGCAACUAAAUGUGGUACAAAAUCUUUAAAAUUCUCCAAACCAAUAGACCUAAGAAAAUGAAUCACCUAAUCAACAUAAAAUGCCUCUCUGGUUGUUGUCAUUCUAUUAUUUGUGAUUGAAUGAAUAAAAGAGUUUAGAUCAACAACUGAUGAUUCGCUACGUGUACAUUUAACACACAACACUGAUGUUAAAACAUAAUCACUUUGUCGUGAGCUUGACGUUUAAAAUGUUUCUGUUUGGCUUCUCAGCUUUUAGCAGUGAAUUAAUUGUGUAGUGUUGUAUGUAUUCAAUUUAGCUUUAGUCUGAAAAGUAAAAUGUUCCAAAGAGGCCAUCCAAUGCACGCUGAGGUAAUGGACCGAAACAACUGAUCCAAUCCCACUCAUGGCUUUGAAUGAGGCCGGCAUGAUGUGCUUGUUUAAUGGCAUAUUCCAUACCUUGCAUUGGGAUUUCAUUUUCAGAUCACGUCCUGAGAGAAUUAUUAGGGAUGAUAGGAACAAACAGAGGAGGAUGGGGCUGGAAAAGCUUAAAGAGCUGAAGCAGACAGCUCUCAGUCUUCCUCUGCAAGCUCAUGCAUACUAAACAUCUGUACGGAUAGGUGAGGCAUCUCACACCAGGAAGUACAGUGGAAGGGGUGAUGUGGACCCCGCAGUCUGGAUGGUCUUCUCAACUUUUGAAUUUUCAAAUGAAUGCUCCCCCUGACCAAAACGUAUGGUUGUCCUGUCUGUGUAUUGAACACUGAGCUGAUCAUUUAAUCAUUGGGACCAUGUACUGCUUGUUAUUCUCACAGUUACAUUCGAAAAGAAAGAUUCUGUGGUUCAUUCAUGUCCCUUCCCCUGUGAAGUUUUUGUUUGUUGUUUAACCAUGCUGUAGAAACGCACUGCUCCCUGCUAUCAGAAGGAGAAUGGGCAAUACUAUCGAUUGGCUUAUGUGAACAAUUCAUGAAUUAUUGAUAAGGUCUUCAGCCCAGCAGUUAUUUGCAUUUUGGUUGUUGUUUUUAACGAGAUGCCUGGGCUUUUAUUCUGGUAGAUGGAUGAUGUGUCAAUCCGCUCUUUAUUCAACGUUAUUAAUUUCUCAGCGCCCGUACACAAGCCAUUUUGGGUCUUCAUUACUAAGAAACGGAGCAAAAAGGAGAACUAACCGAAGGCAAAAUGGAUGGAAAUAAAUCACCGCUGCACUGCCCUGGGCUAAGAUCACAUCCAUGCCCUCCUUAAAUGUGCAAAGAUGAAUAGUUAGCUUUCGCUCACAUGGCUCUUACCUGAGGGAACCAUUUGCAGAUGAAUCUCUCACCUCUUUCUCAGGUUAUCUCCUAAAGCAUCAACACAGCGCCUUACUCCUAAUUUAUUCACAUUUCAGGUACCAUUGGCACCGUCUCCGAGGGGAGAUGAUGGGGCCUGUGUACCCCGCCUGCUCGCCUGCCUGAUUCCCCAGAAAUACAUUAAGGAGCUCAGAGUUUAAAUCUUUUUUUUUUUCUUUCCAGAAUAUCACUCAUAGUUCCCUGUUGACGCCUGUGAAGCUUCACGCAGAUCUUGGCGUUGCCAGGCUUCCCCCCACAAAACAGCAGCUGGCUGAAGGUGGAGAGAAAUUGAGAGAUGGAGAAGUAGAAAAAGAGAAAACAUGCCGCUGUCACUGUAAAGGAAUGUCACUGGUUGAAAGAGAACGCAAAGAGCCCGCAUUCCCCGCUUUGACUUGCGUUUUAAACUUCAAAGCUAUGUGCUUCUAUGUUCUCAGGGACACGCUGAGGGUUAAUCCGUGCAACAAGGCGCUCUGCUAUAUUUCACUCAUUGUGUCGGGCGUCAUCUCAAAAAGUGUCAGUGACAACAUUUGUCAAGUAACAACUGUGACUUUGAGUGUGAAGCAGUGGAAUCCUCUAAACUCUAUAAUCAACCAAAAGCAACCAUCAUAAUGUACAAAGGGGCAUGUCACAUCUAAGACAACCACUUCUGUGCACUGCAUUAAGUCUAAUGCACAAAACCCGUAUAUCACAUACAUCUGCCAAUCACUCCACACAUAAACAUUAUUAUUUUCCUGUAGUCAUCGUUCUGAGCUCUUAAUCAGGACAACAGCUGGUCUGUUCUAUUCGAUAAGCACCACAUUGACGCUGUCGUCAACUUGUUUGUGUCUUUGAAAUACGGUUGUCUCUCCACCUUCAGUACGUCCACGCUGCUGUUUCACAUCACUCCACCUCCCCACCUCCAACCAGUCUUCAUCGGAUUCAUUAGCUUCAGAAUUCUAGCAGCCUCUUCAGCCCACCAGCUCCAGACUAUGGAGGUAUUUACCUUGCUGCUGCUCAGCGCCGACGUCCACCAAUUACAAACCGCAAAUCUACCUGUGUAGAAGUCUGAUCACAUAUCAUCUGUUGAAAAUAAACAUCUUUCACUGACGUGUCUCUCCUGAUUAAACUCCUGUUGGGGAUGGAUUUCAAAGGUUGCAUGACUGGAUUGUAAAUGUUUUAACUGCCUGUAUCACAAUGUGGGUUCAUGUUAUUUUGUAGUUUACUGCCUCUCGUGUCCCUGGGUUCAGUUCACUUCCUGCCUUGGUGGGUUUUCUCCUGUGUCCAAUCACCUUCCCAGUGUAUUUAAACCGUGUGUUUCACUUGUCGGUUCAUAAACUUAUCCAUGCUGGUGAGUCAACUGUUGUUAAUCUUGUUAGAGAGUUGGUUUUGUUUGCCUGUAGGCAGAGAUUAGUUAAAUAAAGUAUUUUUGUUUUGAAAGCGCUUGAGUCCUCCCUCUGGACUGUGGGUGAGUGGGGAGCACGGUCGUCCUCCAAUCAGGGUUGUCGGUUUGAUCCCAGGUUCUGCUAACCCGCAUGUCGAUGUGUCCUUGGGCAAGACACUUAACCCAACAUUGCUCCUGUAGCUGCGACUACAGUGUGUGAAUGUUAGUUACUGAUGGCAGGUGUCACUGUGUGUGGUUCUCCUGUCAUCAGUGUGUGAAUGGGUGUGAAUGGGGGAAUGAUGUCAUGUAGUGUUAAAGCGCUUUGAGUGGUCAGAAGACUAGAAAAGCGCUAUACAAGUACAGGCCAUUUACCAUUAUCUGCUGUCCCUGGAAGAAAUGGGACAGAAUGAACUCACUCUGGAUUCAGCAGACUCUUUUCCAGAAUAUCGACCGGCUAUGCUCGACGUCAGAGGAAAUUCCUCAACAAUUAACACUUGUAUUUUGAUAUACAACCAUCAGCAGGUCAAAGUGACAAACUAAUGAGAUUCACAUUUAAGUUUAGUGCUAAUAUGAAAAUAUAUGUUCACCACUUGCUAAACAUUAGCGUUAACGAUAAAUAUGGUAACGGUAAAUAUGAUAAACAUUCUAUCUGCUGAGAAAAGCACUGCUGUGCUUCAAGCCGUUUAUUGAUGUUGUGUCGGUCAUUCCAUCUGAAUGAUGUGACUAUCGUCCUUGAACCAAAAAGUGUGUAAGAGGUUUAAAAUAUAGACCGCUGUGGCUGAGGUAUAAAUGUCAUCAUCCACUUUAAAGCCAGAUACAAGAGGCUAUUCAUCAGUGAAUCUUAAUAUUUAAUAUUAAAUCUCCUGAGACACUGUAGAUGUGAAUUAUAGCGACAUUCACUUGCCACUUUCAGUGUCAAUUAUUAUCUCUGACCAUUAUCAAAGUGGCAGCGAGCAGAGGCAAGAGAUGAAAUGCUGUAACUCUUUCUCUCUCCUCAACCCGUCCUCUUCCCAUGCCCCCCCCCCCCCCUCCACCUCUUAAGGGUCUUCUCUUUGAAACAUGUCUGGGAGAAGGGAAAGCACAAUAGGUGUGCUAUCAAGUGACAGGUGCCCUUGUUGUGCCUUUAGCUCACAGUGCGAACGAGCCCUCGGCCGCCACCCUCAUAAAACAUGAAAGGACUUGACAUGUGUCCAGAGUUAGGGACUCGCGGCCGCAGCCCACAGCAGAGACGGACACGGACGGGUACAACCUCAUGUAGACACACACACACACACACACACACACACACAAGCAAAGCAGCUUGCUCUUCGGGUUAAAAGGCACAUGGCUGAAGGAGGAGGAACAAUGUGGAGCUGCGGUCGAGGCUGCAUAUUAAAUGUAUUGCUGGAGUUCGGUUAAACAGCUUAAGGUAAAAGGAAGAAGAAAGCUUGGAUAUUCUUGGCUAUGAAGUGGUGAUUGGGCUUGUUUGAGGAUUUCUUCAGCUCAAUUUUUACAUUUACUGCUAUUGAUCUCACCUUAGCGUUUGCCGCUCUGUGGCUUGCCAAGCAGCUAAUGUACAAACCGUCCACAACGUCAGCAGCUGUGUUUCUGAUGCGCAUUGAGCUACAUUGACUAAACAAAGUUGACACACAGCUAAAUCUAAUUUGGGUUUUGCUCAUGGGUCCUUGAAGACGUGUGAAAUAUGCUGGCAGACAGGCUUGGUAAACUGGAUUAAUUCUGAAUUGUCCUUCUGUCACUUCACUGUCACUUCCCCUAUUAAAUUAUUCACUUUUGUUUUUGCCCUCCAUCUGCCACACAUUGCCGUGUAAACUCUCGGUGACCUUUUGCAGUCCCCUCUGCAUUCAUUCAAGGAAAUGCAUUAUUUAUACUACCCCCGCCACAUCCAAGUUAUUGUUUACAUUCAAACCGUAAAACCACGCAGCGCUUCGUCAAGCUGGAGCUAAAGCUUCCUAUUUCAUCGCAUAACUCGUGUAAGAGCGGCGGAGGGGAAGAGAAGAAUAUCACAACAGUACAUCUUCAUGGUUCCAGCGCUGGAGGGAUUUCACCUCCCACUCUGACACACAGCAGCAUAACAACAUCAACAUCCACGAAAUGAAGAAGAUUCAUACCACAUCUCUGUGAAAACAACGGCAGUUUCUUUCAUAUGAUAAAUGAUUGAAUGUGCACCGUGAGAAAUGCUCAAAAGGUCCACACGGAGGGUGUUGCAGACUCUCUCAGUGGACGUUCUGAGCCACUUCAUUCCCAGUGCUUAAGUUCGACAGCAAUAAUCCUGCUGGAUAACAUGUUCUAAUACAACAUGACUCCCAAUACAAUAUCCGAAUCAAUGAUUUAAAUACUAGAUUCAAACCUACGGGUAGAACGAACCGCAUGACUAAUAAUGUGUCCUAACGGAAUGUGAAGCACGAUUCCAUACAAAGUCAAAUGCAAAUUUGGGCAGAUGACACAAGAUGAAAAUGAACUGUGCCAUUGUUUUGAACAAAUCUUAACAGCACUACAAAAUCACUACAAACAUGCAAGCCCCUUCAUCAUUUCAAGUGUUUGAUUGUAAAAAGAGAUGUUAUGUGUAGACAGAAAUAAGGAACUUGCAUAUGACACGCUAGUACAAAUUGUACUAUGUACUUGUAUUUCAUUAUUAAUUAAUUCAAUCCGGAGAGACUUGUUGAAAUUUGAACAAUGCUUUAUUAUAACAGGUAUAAUAUGAUAUUGCAAGUUGUUUGGGGCUUGGACUCCAUCCUGCCGCAGGAUAGACCCGGGGCCGGGAACUCGAGCCGAGACGAGGCAUAUCCCCCCCUUGGGAGUCCAGACACUGGUGGUGGUGGUGGUGGUGGUAGAGCCCAAGUUGCAUAACUCUCCUAUGCCAGGUUCUGCUGUAGAUUGGAGGUGUCAGGGUUGGUGGCGGGUCACCGUUGGAGCGUGCUGAAAUGACAACUGACAGCACAAGAGAGGAGAACAGUUUUUAACGUUUGCCUGCCCCAAUGCGAUUGGUUUACGGUAACGACACCCACGUCUGAUACUACCCGACCCCGCCUCUAAUCAGCUGGCCGUGCGCCCCCAGGGAGAGAGGAGGCCGCCAGGGAACGGCACAGCCUGUCCAGUCUUCCUGACUGAAUUUUCGCCUAAGCUUCAUAUAAAGUAACUUACAAAAUAUUUGACACACAGGGAAAAGCAAGUCAAGGUAAUAUAUCGGUUCAUCUGAUCUCAUCAGCUUCGGAAUUUGUUGCUGAGAAAGCUUAAUUAACAGCCUCCCGCUGUGCUGCAGUUUGUGAAAUGGAAAAUACUCUGUGCCAGCUGCUAGAAGAUAGAAAAUUCCAAUUGGACGAAUCUUCUCUCUGUCCCAUUGAAUGUGGAAUUCUCUGUGCAAGCUAGUGGCUUAUUUCUUAACACUGACCUCCUUGCUGUAGCAGGAGGAUACAAUUGUGAGACUUCCACGGAUGUCGACUGUGAAACUGAACCCCAUUCCUCAGACUCAGUGAGACUGACAGGCGUCCGUCAUUAAAGCUGCAACUCAAGCUCAUCAUUGGAGCUGAGAGACGGCGCCAUGUGAGAAAGACUGGCAGGUCCCGGUACGAGGCGGACGGCGACUGAGACUCAGUGUAAUAGCAUUAGACCUGCACGGAGAGAAAGGAAGGCUGGCCCGUGGUAAUGAGCAAUUUCCUCUGGGUUAAAUGGUCCUUUGCUCUGCAGCAUGACGUUCCCAGGCUUUGGGCGGAUGCAUUGUGUGAGAACUGGGUUGAACUGAGUGGACGACAGAGAAAUAAUGGGAUUCAAGGACACGGCAAGCAAGCUCCAUGAAGCCUCGAGAUUUUCCCAAGGAGCGAGCUGUGCUGCUCCCAUAUUUGAUGUCUUACCGGGUUUACCGCAGCGGACAUGCAGUUUCACCGAGACAAGAGCCAAAAUACAGGAUCACACACACACAGGUAGUGCAGAAACAAGCUCAACGAGGAAUGGCCUGCGGCUGGAUUUGUGCAGAUGAAUGAUCUGAGUGAGCACUUUUGAUGUGUGGCUUGCUUAUACACAAUGAAUACAAAACCAUUUUUUUGUACAGCACGCAGUUGAGUUCAGUGCUCGCUCCCCUUUUAUGAUUCAGUGUAUCCUGCUGGUUGCUACGCAUCAUCAUAACGAGAGCGAUUGAUAGAGAUGAAGAGAUACACAGCGAGAGGGGAAUGAAAGCCAUUCCUCCAGUCGGCUGCCGCUUUUUUUCAUGUGCACCAUGGAAGCACUCCAACUCCUCUGGAGCCGGGCCCCCCACAAUCAUCAGGCAUUAUAAAGAGUGAGACACAUCGAGUGCAACUGGGAUAACACACUUUUUUUUUUUAAUUGACAUCUCCGGUUGGACAACAGAUUGCAGACGGGGGAGAAACGCAGCCCUCUAUUUGGCCGCCUCCCCUCUGCAGUCCUUCAUUAUUUGAGGGCAUUAAAACCAAAUGAAUGUCUCCCAGACGGGAACUAAUCCCUAUGGCCUGGUGCUCCGUCUUGGCACCACCACCUUUGAUUAUUCAACAUCAAUCUGCCACAGAGAGAAUGAAAGGAGCACAAUCCGAUUAGUGACAGGUACACUCUCUGAGAUAACAGCAUUUGCUCCCUGAAGACGAAGCCAUCUGCUGGCCCUGGACAUGCUCUCCUCAUCCAUUCAUCCCCACCCAUCCCACCAGUGGUUUCCUAAUCAUUUCUGACAAGCCUCCCUUUGAUUAUUUAGAAACACUGAAGGACAAAAGUAGGGGUGUGUGUUCUCUCUCUCUCUCGAUUACAUUUAAUUGAAAUGUUGCUUGAAUGUUCCAAUUUUCCCAAAUUGUCUUAACAAUGUGGGGAUGACUUUUUGCCGGCAAGUAAAUUUAGUUAUUAAGCUUCUCCUGAACCUCCAGCUCUAAUAAUCCGUCUGUCUUUUCAUUGGUGGGGAAACCUGAACAGGGUUGACCUGUAGAUUGGAGCCAUCCUUCUCCCAAUCCCUCCUAUUAGCACCUCAAGGCCUUUCCUCAUCAAGCGAGUGGUGGAUUUCAUCUGGUAUUGUGCUGACAGCUCAUAGAUUAGACCCUCAAUCUCAACUACCUCCUCCCUCCCUCACCACCUCUGUCUACCUCUCCAUUGAGAGCUCCAAUCAUUCUUCUCUGGCUAAGUGUCAAUAAACCCACCCACACACACACACACAGGAUCUGAUUCCAGCCCAGGCUCAUUCAGCACUUUGUAGAAAAUGACAAAGUAAAAACUAUUAUAUUUCAAUUUAACAAUACAUUAACUUAAGCAAGAGUUUUAUUAGGGUCUAUUAAAAUGCUAUAUGCCUUGACUGGUAUUUGGAAUGUAGAGGAGUUUAUGAAGUGAAACCUGAUAUAAUUCAAGUGGCUUUUCCUCACCCUCAAAAACCAUUAAAAAAAGCAACAUACUGUAUUUCCCUUAGGAGCUGUUUUGCCAGUUUCGAGUGUCAUAAAAUAGUAGCACUGUGUCAACAAGGAGGUAAAAGGGAGGUGGAGAGCUAAAAUGGAUUAGCGUGGACAGGCCAUCAGGACUAUAGAUGAGUCUCCCAGAAGUGUUUAAAGCACCUGAGAAAUGCUUUCCGUUGUUAUCUACAGGGUAGUCGGAGCCUAUCAAAUGUGAUGAACUCUGACAGAAAAUCAGUGGUCACUGAGCUACUAAAGAAAGCCCCACCUCCCCACAUUCCUCCAAAAUGGAAUACAAUACAGAACAAAAGCUGCUCUGUAAAUUUUCAAUUGGACCAAUUUGGUUCCAGCGCCUCCUGUUUGCUGCGCCUGUCUACAGGUAUCCUGUAAACACAACUAGGAAACCUGCACAAGCAAGUGAAUGAACCAUUCAGGAAUAAUCACAAUUCACUGCCAUGGAUGUUUAGGCAGUAAAUGAACACAAACUGGUUAAAGCGUCUCGAAAGCCAGUUCUCAGAGUGUCAGCAGAAUAUUAAUUCUGCUGACACAAUGCAGGUCUCUAUCGCAUACCACAUUUUGGUAUGUCACAUUAAUGUUGAACCCGACCCUUUAGGCCACGACCACUCACUCCUCGGCAUUGUAUCUCUGCACAUAGUAAAUGAGAGAGUCAAUCUGCGCUAUCCCUGUGGGGACAGGCGCUGUGGAGCAGAGGGACCCACGGGGCCUCGCCAGCUGCCCCAUUAAUCUGUAUUCUCCAGUAGCGUGCUUACGUCUAUCUUUCCCCUGUUGAUGGGCUGGGAGAUGGAGUUUGGGCCAUUAAGAGAUUUUGUGGAACCUGAAAUAAGAGCUUCUGUAGCGUGAAGUAAUGUUGCGGUGUACAGUGAAAAAAAUUCACAUUUCACAUGGGCGCUAAAAAUAAGGGAUGGACUUGAACUGCCAGCUCCUCCAAACCUUCCCUCACAUGUUGUUGGAUCAAAAAGAGGACGAGGGAACGAAGAAAGAAGAGAGAAAGAAACGUAGGAUUUUUUUUUCCAUUAGACUAUGUAUUUAAGCCCAACCUGAAUGCUUCCAUCAUAACAGUCAUACAUAAAUGUUCAAUGAUGGUCGUGUGCUUUUUUCUGUGUUUGUUUGGCUGUUGUGAAAUAUAUGGCAGCAAAAACAGAAGUAAGCUACAUCACAACACUUUAAACAGCAGGACAUUUAUUGAAGCAGUGAGCUGUACUUCCUACAGGGCUGCGUGACAUUCUUUGUCUAAUAACGAGAGGAGUGAGGCAAGACUGAUAAGUAUGUGGAACCAAGGGCUCAAUUUGUUUAAAGAAAGCACAAAACAUGUGUGAAAAAGCUGUUGGUAGCUUCAGUCAAAAAAGCGGGCACUUUAAUGAGACCGUAAAUGAUAUGUGGAGAAAAAGCCUUAAAACAGUCUGUUUUCUCAGAGAUAGGAGUCUAUUUCUGCUCCAGCAUCUUUGCUUUUAGAAAAAUACAUCACCACAUUAAAGCGUAUUCAAGCAAUCAAGGACACUCAACACUAUUACAAUAAAAUAAGCUUUUCCUCAUGAUCACAAAAACAUAAAUAUGUUGGUGGUGUAGGUUUAUUUUUAAUGCACUUCCAUUGCAUAUGCUCACCCUGAUCCGAGCCUCUGAGUGCACUUCCAGAAGAAAUAGAACACAUUUGAUGUUGCUAACCAAGAUAAUAAAUACUGCAGCCAGAAAUCCCGGCAGGAUGCUUAUUCUAUCACUGUUCACUCGUAACUAUCAGUACACAGGGUGAUUUUAUUGGCAUAUGGAUUUAUUUUGUGUUCCUCUACUGUUCACUCAACUUUGAAAUUAAAAACAUAUAAUACACCACAGGUCUUUGUGCAAGCCAUCCAUGUUCUUUCUAAUCCUGCUUAUAAUGAUAAUCAUAAAGCCCUUUGCAGUGCUAACGUUAGUAACAUUUUCCACUCGGAGGCUGUUUUUCGGCUAGUAACUGUUACUUAGCAAACAUGUUCAAUCAUCAAUCCUUAAACUCUGGAUAUUAGUUGACUUAUUUUGAAGAAACACAUUCACACAUUGUAGCGCUGAAUGAUGCAAAAGACGUUGACUGGGGAGUCUCCAUAACAAGCCUCGGCAUUCCUCUGUAUUUUAUUGGCAGUCAUGUCACAUCAGAGAAAGGGACUUAUUGGCUGGCGGAGCCCAAUAACCCAAACUAAUGAGCUGUGACUUUGACACUAUUGAUGCACGGUGAGAAGGCCGUGCUGGACGAAUCCUGAUACGGACCAACCAGGUCAGCCUGACUGCUCUGCUGAGGGUGCCUCUGAAUCAACGGGCCGUUAAAAUUUGAAGAUUAAAGAUUACGGUUGAGGAGCAAUGUUCAUGUACAAGAUGGAGGGAUGGAGAGAAAAGAGAGAGGGCGAUCAAUCAGUACUUUGUGUAAUCUCCACCGCAUGGAGCAAUCUAUCAGAGCGUAUGCAUCUACAAUACAGCAGAAACCAGUCUGAAUUUGAGUUCUCUGCCUCGACCGUGCACGAUAACUGUUUUUGGUGGAAUAAGCUCUCGCCCAGAGCAUCAACACUUACACAAGCAGAAUGCGGCAUGAAAACGAUUCUCCAAUACUGAAUUAGCAUGAAGGCCUCCCCAAUGUGAAGCAGACAACAAUGCACCAAACAAUGGAUCAAACCCUGGAGAAAAUAAAGGCAUUGCUGUGAGAAGCGAAGGUUAUUACAAAGAGGCCAAACGCUAUCGCUCUCCUUUCUCAUUACCCCGAGGAGCUCGACAAAAGACACACGACCCACUGGCGCACAUGGAAAUCAAAGCCUGCGUCUGAUGGAGAGCGUAUCCACGGAUGAAGCAUGUUGCUUACAGCAUUCUAAUAAGGCGACUUAAUGGGACAUGUAGGUGGGAAUGAAAACAGGCCCAGGGCGACUCUUAUCCAAACAGUAAUGCAUAAAUAAAGUGCUGCAUCUUUAGGGGGGACUGUUACCACCAACACCCUCAUCAAUUAUCUUGAGUAUUUAUGAGUCAGAACUUCUGGAAAUAGACAUUGCUGUUAACAGUCCCUCCAAUCGGUUAAGGAAUGUGUGAGAGUGAUGACAUUGUGUUAAACAAGGCGUAGCUAUAGUUGUAGCUGUUUUGUAUAGCUAAACAAGUAGUCCAUUUACAAAGUUAAGUUUUCAACUAUUUUUGGGCAUCUGUGUUGGUGACUAAUCGAACAUUUUAAAACUUUG
ensembl:lncRNA